CAGCAGCCGCGGGAAUACGUAGGUGGCAAGCGUUGUCCGGAAUUAUUGGGCGUAAAGCGCGCGCAGGCGGAUCAGUUAGUCUGUCUUAAAAGUUCGGGGCUUAACCCCGUGAUGGGAUGGAAACUGCUGAUCUAGAGUAUCGGAGAGGAAAGUGGAAUUCCUAGUGUAGCGGUGAAAUGCGUAGAUAUUAGGAAGAACACCAGUGGCGAAGGCGACUUUCUGGACGAAAACUGACGCUGAGGCGCGAAAGCCAGGGGAGCGAACGGGAUUAGAUACCCGUGUAGUCCCUGUCUCUUAUACA
rnacentral:rRNA from 1 species